UUGAAUGUACCCUAAAAAAGAGAAACCAGGCCUGUUCCUUCCUGAAAGUUUCCUUUUUGUUCUCGUUCCCAGUUGGGUGGGAGCCACCUUUAACCCAGGGCCCUGACCUUGCUCAUAACUCUCCUGACAUUCCCUUGGACCUCUGCUUUGUUUCUAGUUCCAUUUCAUGCCGUACCUGGGCUCUUGCUUUGGAUUUAGUAGGUGACUCUUCUCCCAGAACCACUUCACUCCCUGGUACAGAUCUAGCACAGAACUUGAAGUUGUCAACAGGUUCCAGAGCAUAUGCUCUUUCACUAGGCCUCCAAACACCAAACAUGGGUCUCCUGGCUCAUUUCUUGUCAAUGAUGCUUCCCAUCCAAGCCCUGCCCAGUUAUAUACCUUCAUCCAACAUCAUUACCUGGCAGCUGCCAGAAAGCCAGCACUGCCAGCAUCUAAGCAUCUCCUUAUGGGGAAAAAAAGCAGUGUUAAACAUAUGCCUCAAGAAUUUGCAAAUGUUCUCUCUAAGGUAAAGAGGGGUCCUUUGCUAACAUAGUUGAAGGAAACUUGAGAGGAAAAGGGGGGAGGGAGAAGAAGAGGGGGAGGAGAAGGCCAAGAUCUGUGGCAGUGAUGGCUCUGUGGGCUGCUGCCUCUCUUCUGGGAUCUUUGUUAUACGGGUGAUAACCCUCUACUUUGCUAAAGCUUCUUAGUUUGACUUCUGUAGCUGAAUGAUGAACCUUACCUGAUACAGUUCUCUUCUCUGCAAUGAGGAUUAACAUAUAGCCUUCUCCUUAUAGCUGCUUUUCCAGGACACAGCUUGGUUCAGCCUCAUGUCCAGUGGUUGUGUUAUAAGUCAUGGACUAGAGCCCUUUGGCAAGUUACUGAACACUGUAUCUCAGUUUUAUCAUCUCUAAAAUGGGAAAAGUUGUGUCAUACUGCCAAGAUUCAGAUGGACAUUAGCUAAGAUAGUCCAUAAAGUACUUAGCAAGUAGAGUUUGGCAAUGUUAGGCAAGUAUUUACUAUGUGAGGGUUAUUAUCUAUUUGAUUCUUUUUCUCCUUCUGUAGCUGGUUGGCUCCAUUCAGGUCGAGAUUCUGGACAGACACAAUGGUCAUUAUUUCGAAUUUCCAAAGCCAAAAGACCUCAAGACAGAAAGCGGAUGAACUGGAGAAAGUCCAGGAGGACUCAGAAAAUAUUCUGAAAAAAAUUAUGGGUAUCUGGAGGCUGUGGAGAAAUGUGGGAGUCUCUCCACACAUUCCCUCAGGACUCCUCCUCUUCCUACCCCUAUAGUGGUGACCUCUAUGACCUCUACAGAGGGAAGUCAAGACAAAGACAUUAUAGAAAUGAAUAGCCAUGACUGCAUCCAGGGUUGUGAAUUGACUUAUGUCACCUAAAAAGAUACAUGAAAGUCUUAACCCCUAGUACCUGGAAACGUGACUGUUUUUAGAAACUGGAUCUCUGCGAUCAAGUUGGAGUGAUUCGUGCUGAGCUAAUACUGCCUCUCAUUGUCCCCAUAAGAUGAGUAGGUUUUGAGUCUGGAAUGAUGGCUUUGGUUAAGGAUAAUACAGCACUUGCAGAAAACAUGAGCUUGGUUUUCAGCAACCAUGUCAAACAGCUCACAACUAUCUGUAACUUUCAACAUCGCUCAGAAGGAUUGAUGGGGCUCAUCAAUGACAUUAUCUGCCGUCACCUAGCUUGUCAAAUCAUCAAAGAAGUCCAUCAGCUAUAAAUCUGACUAUCUCAGUGACAGAGAAGUGUGAUGCGAAGCUGUGGCAGAGUGCAGUGGAAACAAGGGGUCUCAUGAUACUGCAUUACCCAGGCUCCAUGGAUAAAGGGAUCACAGAAGCAAAAUGUCAUCUAUUGUCUCUCCUGAGGAGGGAGCAGGGAGGUGGGGGCUUUCUGUAGAGACUCCAAAGUGAGAAGGGCUGAGCCUGGCAGAGCUGGGUCCUUUUCUUGGAUAGAUAGGCUUCAGGAGAGGACCCUGAUGUAUCACAUUGGCUCAGCAAAGGCUUCUCCAAAUAGAAAUGGAGGUAGAGGGCAUUAAUUCCUUCUUUUCCUCCAGGACUAUGGCUGGGACAUUGGACAUGGUUCCUUGGACUAUGAUGCUACUCUCGGGAGAAGGCAGCAGUGGGAGAAACUGAAAAUGUCUGCACUGAAACCUGACAUGUCUCAUGACUACCCUGCUCACAUCAGGACCAGCCUCAGUGGAGGAGCAAUUUGUAAAUGAUGCUGAUGCACCCGGGGACUCUUUCUAUACAGCAUAGUCCUUCUUCAGCAAGGCAAGUGUAUCAAUUUCACAUUCCUAGCCAGCUCUAUUGAGAGCUUUGCCUCUGGGGUUCUUUAGUCUGUCCCUUUUGGUAUAAGUAUUUUGUCUCCACCGCCCUGCUUACCUGUACACCUAGGCUGUUAGGAUGUGACUGUCCCAGGUUUUGACAGUCCUCAUAGGCUGGUGCAACAUAUGCUCAUUUCUCAUUCUCUACCUUCUAGCAUGUGAUGCUGCCAUUGAGCGGGGUCACCUAUGCUAGACAGAACAAAUUUAGCAAGAGUUAGGUAGACAGGCCUUUAGUUUAUAUCAGUGAUAACUUUGCCCUUCCGGAAAGGCUAAGUUAAACGUUCUCUUUCUUGCUCUUUGGAAUAGACUCUGACUUCUAUGUGGUAUUGAUUUGGGAUACACAGGGAGCUGGUGAUGUGUAAAGUUGAUUAUGCUUUUGAUUUACUUUAAUAUUUGUGGAGUGCCUGCUUUGUUCAUAUAUCCCCUUAUAUGCCCAAACUCAUCUGAGUUUCUUUAAAGAAUGGCAGAGUGCAGGAACUUUCUUGGCAUGAAUAGUGUUACCUCCCUGUGUAUAUAUUACCCACAUCUCCCACACAGCAGAACUUAGGGCCACAGUAGGUUCCAGAAGAGAGAGAAAACAGCAGACAGAGCCUGUGUCAUUUGGGGAUUUCUAGUUGAGAGCUGUAACAGCUUCAUCCAUUAUUGGAAUUCAAAAAGAAAACAAACCCUCUGCCCCAAAAUUAUCUGGACGGACAAAGCUAUUCCUACCCUGGCUGAGGGCAAGAAAAACCACGUCCAGAUGGGUUUCAUCAGUAACAUGCUCGCUGGUGUAUAAAAGUAUUCCUCUUGGCUUCUGGGUGAUAACCUUUACCCAAGGGGAUAAUGAAUGUCUUUUCCCUAGACAUUUCAAUGCAUGGUAUUUUUAAAACCACACAGGCAAAAUCAAAGCAUGUGUUCAAAAUGUCAUAGUCUGAUUUUUUCCCUUAUUUAUGUAUUUGUGAAAAAUUACCAGUCUCUUUAUAUCUACCUUUCAAGAAUUGUUUUCUCACUCUCUGCAGCAGUGAAAAACCAUUACAAAAAAAUUCUACAACCAAUCAGAAUACAGAGCACACGUGACCGUGUAGUGGCCAGUCCAACUGAUACAUUUACAA
rnacentral:sRNA from 1 species